GAGCAAGCACAUUUGCAAAAGGGGGGGCGCCCCUGGAGAAUUGGAUGCUAGGGGGUCUCUUUAAGCAGCAGGAAUAGCUUCCCCAAAAGUUAACAAGUAAAACGGAAUUGAUGGGGGAGAAUGCAUUAUUAUCCUGUGGAGUAAUGCAAUAAUGAUGAUGAUGAUGAUGAUGAUGAUGAUAAUAAUAAUAACAACAACUGAUGGGAAAUAGGAGUAAAUGGGUUGUUUGUUUUUCACCCAAAACAAAAACCUGUCUGGGUUCCGCUUGCUAGGUAUCGGCAUCACUCGGUUUGCCACAGGGAUUGCACAGGGUCUCAGCACAGGCCCUCUGAGCAACUCAGGGAAAGGUGCUUUCUGGCAUAAAGAAAAUGCAGCUUUGCUCUUCCGCAGCUGUCUCGGGCCUUUGCAGUGCUGACAGAAGCAGAAACGAGGAAGGAGAAAAACUUGUUUGUGUCGAAAGAAAGGGGGAGAGAAGUUACAGCCUGGAGCAGAUGGGACCUGGAAGAUGUGCUCCGCAAAACGUCGCUUCCGUAGAACGCAUCUCGCAGUCGAUAGUUUUGUUUUAAUGCAAGCUCAAAAAAUGUGUGCCCUCUCUUCUCUGGGCCAUCCGGUGCGUGGUUUAUAGACCUGAACCAAAACUUGAACUUGGUUUAUUCCCAUGGUUUAGGAGCAUAAUCUGGAGGCAUCAUUUUGGCUGUCUCUGGUUUAGAGACUUCAGACAUAUGCUUUCAGCAUCAACUGAUGACUUGUUUGUCUUUGCAAGCCCAUAUUUAAAACCAUGGAUUGAACAUCGAUAUCCCCUGUGUGAUCGGGUUAAAAGGCCCAUCUAGGCCAGCAUCCACUUACAGAGGCCAACCGGAUGCCUACGGGAAGCCCACAUCAAGCAUACAUUAUUUUCGUCCUUGUCUGCUCACACAUUAAUGCUCACUGGUUGAUGCGUCAGCAAGUGAUGAGGCCAAUCAGUUCGGUUUCAAGCCAUAUAGGCAUGGAGAAACUGUCUUUCAGUCCCAACACAGCCAUGGGUUUAUUUCAUGGAUUUGAACCUGUCUCCCAGUCUCAGCCUUGUUUUGAUGUAAAAUGGGAAUCAUGAUCUACUUCAGAGUGGUAGCAUGGGGACUAAUUAUAUGAGCCAUCAAUUAGAUGCUGCCUGUAAGAUCAUUUAGAACACCUAGGGAAAUUCUGCUUGUGGCACCGCACCCCACAGAAUAUCAUAGGGUAGUGACCCCAGAACAUUCAUUUUCUGCUGUUGCCUCUGUACUAUGGAUCGCCCUUCCCUUUGCCAUAAAUGAAGCUGCAACUAUUACUUGCUUCAGGUGUCUAGUAAAGGCUUGUUUUUUUGCCUAGGCUUUCCCUGACCCUUAAGAUCAAAAUGAUGUAUUUUAUGUGUUUGAAUCUUCUGGGGGGUUUUUUGUUCACUUUUAUCAGUUUUUGUACCAUUGCUUUAUUAUUUUAGGUUGUUGUUUUUAAUGGGCAUUGGUUUUAUAUUGCACAUAGUAUAUACUAAAAUAGUAAGAGGUUUGGAAAUCCUUUUAAAUCACCAAACAUCUUCUUGUCAUAAGCUUAAGGAAAUACCUGGUUUUUCAAUAUAAACAAAUAAUCAGGACUUCAUUAUCGAGGUCCCUAGAAAAUGUGGACCCAUUAAUAUUUCUGUUAAACUAUGUAAACUAUGUUAUCCCAGUGAAAUAUUUUGAAGCAGACCUAUAUUAUUUAACUCCCAUGCCUUUGAGAAAUAUUAGCAAUCACAUUUGGAAACAUAACAAAAAAAAAGGGUUUUGUAAGAGUAUGGGCAACAGCAAAGUGCCACGUUAUCGAGACUUGGGGAAACUAUGUCAAAAUUACAAACUGUUAAGGGUUACAAUAAUGCAUUGUAUCAUGCAAAAAUAUUAAUUUGAUGAUAAGUGUUUACUAUGGGCCCAUGUGAUGUAAUCCUAAAUUCCUGAGCUGCUGUUUGUUUAUUGGAUUCUAUGAGUUGUCUCAUACUGUAAGACUUUUUCUGCUGAUCACAGCGAUGACAACAACAACGUGUUUCAGUACUAGGUCAAUACCUGUCUUAUCCAAAUUUCUCCAUCUCCACAAUGUGUUUUAAGUUCCCACAAUGAGGUUAUUUAGCUAAUUAGACUUUUGCGAUGAAUAGCAAGCUGGAAGGUUCAGUGACGCUUCUGAAACAAAACGUCUCCCUUCCACGUAAAAGGUAAAGGGACCCCUGACCAUUAGGUCCAGUCAUGGCCGACUCUGGGGUUGCGGCACUCAUCUCGCUUUACUGGCCGAGGGAGCUGACAUACAGCUUCUGGGUCAUGUGGCCAGCAGGACUAAGCCACUUCUGGUGAACCAGAGCAGCGCACGGAAACGCUGUUUACCUUCCCGCCAGAAUGGUACCUAUUUAUCUACUUGCACUUUGACGUGCUUUCGAACUGCUAGGUUGGCAGGAGCAGGGACCGAGCAACAGGAGCUCACCCUGUCGCGGGGAUUCGAACCGCCUACCUUCUGAUUGGCAAGUCCUGGGCUCUGUAGUUUAACCCACAGCGCCACCCCUUCCACUUAACGUAUUGUUAUUUCUGAACCCUACUUUUUCCAAGCACCCAGCACAUUCUCUCGCACCCACUAAGACAUUCCCAUUCCCAAAUUCUGUGCUGGGGAACUCAGAGAUGCAAGAGGAGUAAAAAAAUGUGACUCGAAAAACUAAGCUGGCUUGUCAUAAUUCACUCACAGCAGUACAAUCGUUGGAAAAACUAGGCCUGAUUCCCUCCCUAGCCUCUUGCCAGUAUAUGGGGAGUGUCACUUGGAUUUCCAGUGCAACUGAAAGGCGUGAGAGAAUCUCCGAAGCAUCUCACCUGCCCAGAAAGCACUGCCUCAUCCCUGAGCCUUGACUGAUUAGUAAGGAGAAGACAACUUUCCCCUAGUAGCAAGGAUGAAGAGAGAGGGUUGAGGAAAAUCUGCGUGCAUCUUUCUGAGCGUAGGCAUGCCUCAAAUUUUCCUCCAUAUUUUAAAAAGAUGCCCCAAGUAUCAAAAGCUUGGGAAACACAGCGGACAGAAAUCUUGCUUGCCGAAAUCUCUGUGCUGCGGAAAGCGUAUGGGGCGAGGGUCGGCUGAUCUGUGCGGGAGAUCAGUCGCGCUGUUGCUGUUCCUACAGUGGUGCUGAAGUUGACUCUGCUCUGCUGAAAUAAUGUGUUGAAAGGGGAGAGGUGGUCCACUUCCUAAACUGCUUGGUGGAGUCAGAAUCUCUCUCUUUCUCCCUCCAGAUCUUCAGCUGCUGGGCCGUAAGCAAAGAGGCUGCCAUUGUGCAGGCCUCAAAAGCUGCAAGGAAGGCCAUUGCAGACAUCUCGGAUCGC